rnacentral:rRNA from 1 species
CAGCAGCCACGGGAAUACGAGGGGGGCAAGCGUUGUUCGGAAUUAUUGGGCGUAAAGGGUGCGUAGGCGGUUUGAUAAGUCUUGUGUGAAAUCUCUGGGCUCAACCCUGAGUCUGCACAGGAAACUGUCGGGCUUGAGAGUGGGAGAGGUGAGUGGAAUUUCCGGUGUAGCGGUGAAAUGCGUAGAUAUCGGAAGGAACACCUGUGGCGAAAGCGGCUCACUGGACCAUUUCUGACGCUGAUGCACGAAAGCUAGGGGAGCAAACAGGAUUAGAUACCCCAGUAGUCCCUGUCUCUUAUAC